UCGGACGUGGUGUACGGAACACACCUGCUAGCGAUACUAGAAACUUGUUCUCGAGUCUGCAGGUCAUCUGGGUUCGACUCCCAGCGUCCGAA